rnacentral:lncRNA from 1 species
GUCAAGACUGUUCAGGGAGGGAAAAAACCAAAAACACUAAUGUUGAAAAGGUCUUUAAUCUUCUAUGACUGCUGUUCAAGGAUUAAUCUUUGGAGCAGAGGCUAAUAUUUUCUCAGGUUAUUUUACAAAGGGCAAUCUUUGAUAGGAAGGUAAAAUUUGAAAUUAAAUGCAUUCUUUAGGUCUGAUGUAAAUAUAUACUGGAUGGUUUUUUAAGCCCAGGAUCAACCAAGCACAGACCCUCAGCUCCACCACGUGAGUGGGUGCUUUUGACAGUCAGUGGGAUGAGUGCAGAGUGUUUCUCAUUCUGUCAGCCCCGCUAGAAUAAUGCAGUGUGUGCCUUUUAAGGCACUCGUACAUUUCUUUAUUUGAAUUAUGUGAAAAGUUAGGCAUAUAGAACUGUCCUUGCUUUUGAACAGUGUAGGUAGGUAUAGGAACAUGAACUGACAGAGCUGUGGUAGUCUUCUACUCCUUUUUCUAUCAUUUUUUAGACUGUUGCAGAUUUUGUGUCUGCUGUUAGAAAAGCAGACCUUUCAAUAAAAUAUAAACAAUUAUGAUAACAAGUAUCUAAUCUAAAUGUUAAAGUCUUGUGUCAAAUGUAAUUUUUUCUAACAGAUAUGCACACAUACAUAAUGUACUCGCAUGUAUGUAUAGCCACAUAUAUAUGUAUUCUUAUCAUUAAUAAUGUAAGAAUGUAUAUAAUAUGUUAUAAAAUUAGAUGCAUUAACAAAAGUCUUUGGGGUUGGGGAUUUAGCUCAGUGGUAGAGCGCUUGCCUAGGAAGCGCAAGGCCCUGGGUUUGGUCCCCAGCUCCGAAAAAAAAAACAAAAAACAAACAAACAAAAAAAAAAAC